rnacentral:misc_RNA from 1 species
GAUGAAGAACGCAGUGAAAUGCGAUAAGUAAUGUGAAUUGCAGAAUUCAGUGAAUCAUCGAAUCUUUGAACGCACAUUGCGCCCGGCAGUACUCUGCCGGGCAUGCCUGUUCGAGCGUCAUUUCAACCCUCAAGCCCUGCUUGGUGUUGGGGCCCUACGGCUGCCGUAGGCCCCGAAAGGAAGUGGCGGGCUCGCUACAACUCCGAGCGUAGUAACUCAUUAUCUCGCUUAGGGCGUUGGGCGGCGCUCCAGCCGUUAAAGAACCAUCUUUAACUCAAGGUUGACUUCGGAUCAGGUAGGAAUACCCGCUGAACUUAAGCAUAUCAAUAAGCGGAGGA